AUUCUUUCUCCCAGAGCUUGCUCUCCUUGAGAAAGAGGAGUGGCGGACGGGUGAGUAACACGUGGGUAACCUGCCCAUCAGAGGGGGAUAACACUUGGAAACAGGUGCUAAUACCGUAUAACAAUCUGAUGCCGCAUGGUUUUAAUUGAAAGGCGCUUUCGGGUGUCGCUGAUGGAUGGACCCGCGGUGCAUUAGCUAGUUGGUGAGGUAACGGCUCACCAAGGCCACGAUGCAUAGCCGACCUGAGAGGGUGAUCGGCCACAUUGGGACUGAGACACGGCCCAAACUCCUACGGGAGGCAGCAGUAGGGAAUCUUCGGCAAUGGACGAAAGUCUGACCGAGCAACGCCGCGUGAGUGAAGAAGGUUUUCGGAUCGUAAAACUCUGUUGUUAGAGAAGAACAAGGAUGAUAGUAACUGAUCCUCCCUUGACGGUAUCUAACCAGAAAGCCACGGCUAACUACGUGCCAGCAGCCGCGGUAAUACGUAGGUGGCAAGCGUUGUCCGGAUUUAUUGGGCGUAAAGCGAGCGCAGGCGGUUUCUUAAGUCUGAUGUGAAAGCCCCCGGCUCAACCGGGGAGGGUCAUUGGAAACUGGGAGACUUGAGUGCAGAAGAGGAGAGUGGAAUUCCAUGUGUAGCGGUGAAAUGCGUAGAUAUAUGGAGGAACACCAGUGGCGAAGGCGGCUCUCUGGUCUGUAACUGACGCUGAGGCUCGAAAGCGUGGGGAGCAAACAGGAUUAGAUACCCUGGUAGUCCACGCCGUAAACGAUGAGUGCUAAGUGUUGGAGGGUUUCCGCCCUUCAGUGCUGCAGCUAACGCAUUAAGCACUCCGCCUGGGG
rnacentral:rRNA from 1 species